rnacentral:lncRNA from 1 species
GUUUUCAGACCAUGAGAAGACUCACAAGGAGAGCUGGCAGCCUUCAGGACCUUCAGGAGCAGAAGGAAGCUGUCAUUACGAAAGCAUGAUUGGAGGUGGGGUACUUCGAAAGGCUCUUACUUUUAAGGGCGGGAUGAGAAAAUCAAGGCUGUAGGAACUGCAAUAGCUAACCAAUCAGGUUUGGACCAGCCAGUCUUCUAGACCAUUCAACAGCAACGCUGAAACAGCCCUAUCCCUCCAAAAGACAUAAACACAGAAAAAAUGGCCACACAACUUCAAGAAUAUGCAGAAAUGGAUGGAAUAACUACAACAGGGGAUAUUGGGAAUGGAAGGAACCGAGACCCACUGGCUACUCACAGCAGCUUCUCCGGGGACCAAGGGAGAGAGAAAUUGGGCUGCUGUGUCCUCACCAUCGGGAAACAUCCGACCAACCAGGGAAAAACACAUUCCUGGAUUUCUGCCUUCAAUUCUUGCAAUAAUAAUGUAACAGCCUCAGAUCCUUUCCAGUUUUUAGACAUAAAGAUGACUGUCUAGCAGCAGGUUUUGCUGAAUCCCCAGCACAGAAGCAACAGCCAAGUCCUAUUUAAACGUUUCAUUGUGCAGAUCAUAAAGCAGAAUUCCUGCAUCCAUUUGUUCACUUAGUAUUCAUUCAUUCAUUCAUUCAUCCACUCGUUAUGGUGAGUAAAAAGUAGACCGCCAUAAACAGCCUUUCCUCCUGAGUGUCCCCAUUGAGAGUGGCAGCCAACGUGAGACUAGUCACCAGCUGCCAAGGAAGCAAUGGGGUGCC